ACUCUUCGUAGGUAUGUUCCGCUUGCCCGAAACAGUAGUGGCACCAAAAGUCGAUAUUUUCCUUUGGAGCAACCACCAAAUACUUGGCAGGGACAAGAUGAACAACUCCUGCACUCUGGGAGUCGACGAGCGUCGACAUACUUCACUUGAUCGUUGUAAUCAUAAUGCACAAGUUUUUUGGCAUUACCAUGGCACCGAAGCAUGACAAAUUCAGAAUCGCUGUCGAGCAGAUCAGAGUAUGCCCUGCAACAAACGAGCAUAAUUAAACUAAAGAAAUUAUGGACUAACAUAAAUAAAAUUAAAUGAUGGAAUAAAACUUACAGUCUGAUGUGACUCGCUGUGUCAGCUAUAUUCAAAUUGACAGCCAACUGAACAGACCUGGAGGCCACGUAGACUUUUUUUAUGUUUACCUUCUCCAAUUCAGUUGCCUUUUCUUGGUACCAAUUGGGGCCAGCAUACAAGAACAUAUGUACUGUAACUGUGGGGACAGGAGCAGCUACUUAAACCAAAUAGGAAAAGGUACGUUCAAUUCUAUUUUUAAGAACAAUUGUAAUGUACGGUAGUUACCCCUAGGCCUUGUGGAGACACUCCUGGCAUUUCGUAAAGAUUUUUCCCUCAUACCAGCUCUUGUAGCCAUGUGAGCUGGCAAGCUGUUCAGUGGUGAAUGACAACCUGCAGCUGGGCUUGCUAGAAAGUUAUCCAAGUUGCUUGUCCUCGCUGAAGUCAACGGCCCAGCAUGACUAGAUUCAAGUGAUGCAUAUUCUCUUUUGUUGUUGGUGUAUAUGGCGUAGGACAGUGCUACAAGGCCUUUUGCUGAAAAUAAGAAACAAAAACAUAUUUUACUUUGAGGAAGUAUGAAAACAGCAAGUAAAGUACAAACCUUCACAGCCAGUUUGAUACUUUGUGUAAUCAAGCAUGCUUUCCACAAAGUCUUGGUUGGCAGUCAUGUUCAACAGCUACUGCUAAUUUAAUUAUUCACGUACAAACUAAUACACAAUAAAGAAUGUAGGGUAGUAGAGAUUCUACAUUUAACUAAUUUACCAUGUCAGAAAACCUGACAAGUGGCCGGCCGGUCGACCAGGCUGAAUUGUCUGCUCCAGUGGUACUGCUUUAAUGGGGUUGUAUUUUGUAUACCACUUUUACAGCAAGACAGCUUCAGCAACGUAUAUAGUUUCAGCAACUUGUGCCGCGUUGCCAAAUCAUGGUUCAUGGGAAAGCAACAUAGUCUCCAAGUCUCAGGUCCAACCUUGGACUUAUUUAGCGGUCGCCCAUUAGGUCCAGGGUUGGACCUGAGCCGUUUGCCGUAACUAUUGGUAAUCGAGUCUCCAAUCGAUUCUCGAAGCCCCUGUCAAGAACCAGGGCAGCCAUGGUGUGAGCUAAAAUGUGAGCUAAAAUAAUUUCUUCCCAUAUUGUCAUGGCAAAUGACUAUAAAGGUAAAUGAAUAGUUUGAAAAUUGAGGCAUACUGGUGAUGAAUCAAACCUGAAUACCGUACUGCUAACAGGUGUUGAGUAUAUUCAUACAAGUAAGAAAUAGGUGUGUGGUUAAUGUGAUGCUCAAUCAGUUUGUUACUGCAGCUUAAGUGCUUUCAUUAACAACAAUAACCGACGUCUAGCAAUUUUAAACAAUGCACUAAAGUCCUCUAUUUGAGAACGUUUCUACAACCUGUGUCUAAUAAAAACAUCCUUUUUUCAUGACAUUUCUUUUCAUUUCAACUUGGCUUCAGUCAGACAGUAUGCUGAAGACAUAUUGGCAAAUGAGCCAAAACUUCAUAUCCUUGUCAACAAGGCUGGAUGUGCUGCAAUCGAAAAGAAAUUCACAUUGAAUGGGCUUGAGAACGAAAUGCAAUC